rnacentral:tRNA from 1 species
GCUCCCGUAGUUAAACGGAUAUAACAAACCCCUUCUAAGGGUUAAUUCGAGGUUCGAUUCCUCGCGGGAGCA